rnacentral:rRNA from 1 species
AACGAACGCUGGCGGCAUGCCUAACACAUGCAAGUCGAACGAAGGCUUCAGCCUUAGUGGCGCACGGGUGAGUAACGCGUGGGCAACUGCCUAUUGGUGGGGAAUAACGACGGGAAACUGUCGCUAAUACCGCAUAAGCCCUUCGGGGGAAAGAUUUAUCGCCGAUAGAGGUGCCCGCGUCCGAUUAGCUAGUUGGUGAGGUAAUGGCUCACCAAGGCGACGAUCGGUAGCUGGUCUGAGAGGAUGAUCAGCCACACUGGGACUGAGACACGGCCCAGACUCCUACGGGAGGCAGCAGUGGGGAAUAUUGGACAAUGGGCGAAAGCCUGAUCCAGCAAUGCCGCGUGAGUGAUGAAGGCCUUAGGGUUGUAAAGCUCUUUCGGGUGGGACGAUGAUGACGGUACCACCAGAAGAAGCCCCGGCUAACUUCGUGCCAGCAGCCGCGGUAA